rnacentral:rRNA from 1 species
UACAGAGGGUGCAAGCGUUAAUCGGAGUUACUGGGCGUAAAGGGCGCGUAGGUGGUUAUGUAAGUGAGAUGUGAAAUCCCUGGGCUUAACCUAGGAACUGCAUCUUAUACUGCAUAACUGGAGUACUGUAGAGGGUAGUGGAAUUUCCGGUGUAGCGGUGAAAUGCGUAGAGAUCGGGAGGAACACCCUGUGGCGGAAAGGGCGGCC